AUUGAACGCUGGCGGCAGGCCUAACACAUGCAAGUCGAACGAGCGGCGGACGGGUGAGGGAUGCCGGGAAGUUGCCCCGUCGAGGGCGAUAACAGUUGGCAACGACUGCUAAGACCGCAUACGGUUGGAGUGGCCAGGUGGGAUUAGCUAGUUGGUGAGGUAAUGGCUCACCAAGGCGACGGUCCCUAGCUGGGCUGAGAGGCGGAGCAGCCACACUGUAACUGAGACACGGACCAGACUCCUACGGGAGGCAGCAGUGGGGAAUCUUGCACAAUGGGCGAAAUCCUGAUGCAGCCAUGCCGCGUGUGUGAAGAAGGCCUUCGGGUUGUAAAGCACUUUCAGCGAGGAGGCGGUACUCGCAGAAGAAGCACCGGCUAACUCCGUGCCAGCAGCCGCGGUAAUUC
rnacentral:rRNA from 1 species